AGUUUACAAAGGAGUACCUGACAAUGGCUCAGAAUCAAGGCUGCAUGGAUGAUUUUCUCCUUUCUUCUCUAAGUUGGAAAUGGGUAACUUCAAGGUCACUUAACCAUUCUGCACCG
rnacentral:lncRNA from 12 species